GCUAAUCGUUUUUAGGUUUAUGAAAGCAUUAUCGAGUGGAACAGGCUGAUCGAUUCGAUGCAAGCUAUGUCAAAAUAUAAGAAGAUAGCAUCCAAAUGGCAGUAGUGAAAAGAUGCAAAACAUGCAGUAGGGUAUCAGAAACAUUAAUUAGAUUUUAGCCUUUAUGGAGAUGUUUCAUUAACACUGAACUUUCAAGUGAACAACAGCUUGCAAAAGGUGUCCCCAACUACAAAUCUAAACAAAAAACCAAACAAGCUAUCCCCAUCCCAGUUUCUUGGACCACCCCCAAAAUAAAAAUCUCCACCCACUUCACUGCAAAUUUGACCCUUUCUCUAAAGAUGUCCGCUGCAAAUUAAAAACUCAAGGUUCAGCCUUCACUCAGCACCCCCUGAACUAUCCGCAUUUACCACACAACCUCUCAAACUAAAGUUCCCAACUUUCUCGCACUACAAACAAUGGUGCUGCAGGAAAUCACGAGAGUAAUGCUUUUCCAUUCAAAUGUCACAGCACAGAUACAAAAAAGAUUGAAUCACAAAAUGAAGUCAGAUGCUUCAUAUUACAUUGGUUUACUCACUAACCGAAAUCGAAUCAAGGGAACUGAAACGACCCGAAAUCCUGCU
rnacentral:lncRNA from 1 species